GUGGCCCUAAAUCAAGGCGGACAGCUUGCUGUAGCUGUUGGUUUUUAAAAGGAGCCAAAAGAAAACUCUUUCCAUGGUCUGUUGGACGCCUUGCAAUAUUAACACAGGGGACGUCCAAUUCAGUUGAAAGAAACAAAU